GCCAGACUCCUACGGGAGGCAGCAGUGAGGAAUAUUGGUCAAUGGUCGGGAGACUGAACCAGCCAAGCCGCGUGAGGGGGGAAGGUACAGAGUAUCGUAAACCUCUUUUGUCAGGGAACAAAGACUGGGACGCGUCCCCGGAUGAGUGUACCUGAAGAAAAAGCAUCGGCUAACUCCGUGCCAGCAGCCGCGGUAAUACGGAGGAUGCGAGCGUUAUCCGGAUUUAUUGGGUUUAAAGGGUGCGUAGGCGGACGCUUAAGUCAGCGGUAAAAUUGGGGGGCUCAACCUCGUCGAGCCGUUGAAACUGGGUGCCUUGAGUGGGCGAGAAGUAUGCGGAAUGCGUGGUGUAGCGGUGAAAUGCAUAGAUAUCACGCAGAACUCCGAUUGCGAAGGCAGCAUACCGGCGCCCGACUGACGCUGAGGCACGAAAGCGUGGGUAUCGAACAGGAUUAGAUACCCCUGUAGA
rnacentral:rRNA from 1 species